rnacentral:rRNA from 1 species
AUUGAACGCUGGCGGCAGGCUUAACACAUGCAAGUCGAGCGGGGGAGGUUGCUUCGGUAACUGACCUAGCGGCGGACGGGUGAGUAAUGCUUAGGAAUCUGCCUAUUAGUGGGGGACAACAUUCCGAAAGGGAUGCUAAUACCGCAUACGCCCUACGGGGGAAAGCAGGGGAUCUUCGGACCUUGCGCUAAUAGAUGAGCCUAAGUCGGAUUAGCUAGUUGGUGGGGUAAAGGCCUACCAAGGCGAGGGUCUGUAGCGGGUCUGAGAGGAUGAUCGGCCACACUGGGACUGAGACACGGCCCAGAGUCCUACGGGAGGCAGCAGUGGGGAAUAUUGGACAAUGGGCGGAAGCCUGAUCCAGCCAUGCCGCGUGUGUGAAGAAGGCCUUUUGGUUGUAAAGCACUUUAAGCGAGGAGGAGGCUCUUAAGGUUAAUACCCUUGAUGAGUGGACGUUACUCGCAGAAUAAGCACCGGCUAACUCUGUGCCAGCCGCCGCGGUAAUAC